rnacentral:rRNA from 1 species
UACGUAGGGUGCAAGCGUUGUCCGGAAUUAUUGGGCGUAAAGAGCUCGUAGGCGGUCUGUCGCGUCUGGUGUGAAAAUCCAGGGCUUAACCCUGGACCUGCAUCGGGUACGGGCAGACUAGAGUGCGGUAGGGGAGAUCGGAAUUCCUGGUGUAGCGGUGAAAUGCGCAGAUAUCAGGAGGAACACCAAUAGCGUAGGCAGGCUUCUGGGUGCCACCUGACACUGCUAGGACGAAAGCGUGGGGAGCGAAUGGG